GCCCUGUGUAUACAAUACUAUAGCCAGGAUGCCAAACAUGUCAGCCCCCCUCAGUACAACUGUGGCUGUCCUGGGGAACCUUACUUAGAUAUGAGUCAGAAAUAAGGAGGAGGUCCCUUAUUCUGCUUGAGGCCAAUCAGUGACACUCGCGUGUGUUCCUGCCAGCAUAGGACCAGGAUGGGUACCUUCUCCAAGCUCCGCAGAGGAGGACCCCAGCUCAAGCCUUCCCUGAGCAUCGCUGGUAGCUCUUGGCUAGUGGGCUGAGGGAGAACCUUUCCCACCCUCCUCGCCGUGCUUCCCUUCCCUCCCUGGGCUGUAUAUUGCACAGGACAAACACUUAGGAGCCAUUGGAUAUGAGUCCCCCUGGGCCUCGGAGGAAGCAGGAGGCACUCGGGUAAGAAGGGAGAUUCUGGGGAUGAGGGACGUUCCAGAAGGCUGCCAAAGCUUCAGGAUGGGUGAGAAGGCGUCUUUCUUCUGGAC
ensembl:antisense Gm16034 predicted gene 16034